UUGAACGCUGGCGGCAUGCCUUACACAUGCAAGUCGAACGGCAGCACGGGAGCAAUCCUGGUGGCGAGUGGCGAACGGGUGAGUAAUAUAUCGGAACGUGCCCAGUCGUGGGGGAUAACGUAGCGAAAGCUACGCUAAUACCGCAUACGAUCUACGGAUGAAAGCGGGGGAUCGCAAGACCUCGCGCGAUUGGAGCGGCCGAUAUCAGAUUAGGUAGUUGGUGAGGUAAAGGCUCACCAAGCCGACGAUCUGUAGCUGGUCUGAGAGGACGACCAGCCACACUGGGACUGAGACACGGCCCAGACUCCUACGGGAGGCAGCAGUGGGGAAUUUUGGACAAUGGGCGCAAGCCUGAUCCAGCCAUGCCGCGUGCAGGAUGACGGUCCUAUGGAUUGUAAACUGCUUUAUACAGGAAGAAACACUCCGACGUGUCGGAGCUUGACGGUACUGUAAGAGUAAGGAUCGGCUAACUCCGUG
rnacentral:rRNA from 1 species